CCCCGGCGCCGGCACGCGGACCCGAACGAGGCGACAAGACAGGAGUGUAGUGGUGUGAUCACAGCUCACUGCAGCCUCCACCUCCUGGGCUCAAGUGAUCCUCCCAUCUCAGCCCACCAAGCAGCUGGGAUCACAGGCCAAGUUCCCACCUGGUGGGAAGCACUGUGCAGGUUCGUGGGGAUGCAGCCCUGCACAGCCCAGACUGGACUCCUUCCCCAUGGAACUCACAACACACGGGAGAGGCAGAGAGAUCCAAGCGCACAGAAAAACACAAGAAGAUUCAGCCCUGUCAUCUUGUGCAAAAGUCACACAGGCUAGAGUGCAGUGGCAUGAUCUCAGCUCCCCACAACCUCUGCCUCCGAUGUUCAAGCGAUUCUCCUGUCUCAGCCUCCUGAGUAGCUGGAAUUACAGGUGCCCACCACCACGCGCGGCUAAUAUUUGUGUUUUUAGUAGAAAUGGGGUUUCACCAUGUUGGCCAGGCCAGCCUCGAACUCCUGACCUCGGGUGAUCAGCCUGCCUUGGCCUCCCAAAGUGCUGGCGUUACAGGCAUGAUCAUGGCUCAUUUCUUUUUAGCACUGAAUGAUAUUCCAUUGUCAGGAUGUACCACAGUUUGUUUAUCCAUUCACCUACUGAAGGACAUUUUGGUUGCUUCUAAGUUUUACCAGUUAUGAAUGAAGCUGCUAUAAACAUCUGUGUACAGAUUUUUUUGUGGACAUAAGUUUUCACCUCCUUUGGGUAAAUACCAAAGAGUGGGCUUGCUGGAUUUUACGAUAAGAGUAUGUUUAAUUUGUAAGAAACCACCUAACUGUCUUCCACAGUGACUGUUCUAUUUUUGCCUCCCCACCAGCAAUGAAUGAGAGCUCUCAUUACUCCCUGCUUUCACCAGCAUUUUGUGGUGUCCGUGUUUUGGAUUUGGUCAUUCUAAUAGGUGUGUAAUGAUAUGUCAUUAUUGUUUUAAUUUGCAACUUCCUCAUGACAUCUGAUGCUAAGCAUCUUUCAAUAUGCUUAUUUGCCAUCUGUGUAUCUUCUUUGCUGAGGUGUCUAGAUCUUUUGCCUAUUUUUUAAUCGGGUUGUUUUCUUAUUGUUGUGUUUUUUUGGAAUUCUUUGUAUAUUUUGGAUAGUAGUCCUUUAUCAGAUAUGUCUUUUGCAAAUAUUUUCUCCCAGUCUGUGUCUUGUCUUCUCAUUCUCUUGACAGUGUCUUUUGCAGAGCAGUUUUUUUUUUUUCCUUUCUGGAGAUGGGGGUCUCCCUAUAUCUCCCAGGCUGGUCUCAAACUUCUGGGCUCAAGCGAGCCUCCUACCUCUCUGGAGUAACUGGGACAAUGGAUGUGUCCUACUUCCAGCUUAGAAGUUUUUAAAUAUAUAUAUUUUUUGAGAUGGAGUCUCACUCUGUCACCCAGGCUGGAGUACAGUGGUGUGAUCUCGGCUCACUGCAACCUGUGCCUCCUGGGUUCAAAUGAUUCUUGUGCCUCAGCCUCCUGAAUAAGUGGGAUUACAGGCAUGCAUCACUAUGCUCGGCUAAUUUUUGUAUUUUUAGUAGAGAUGAGGUUUCACCAGGCUGGUCUCGAACUCCUGACCUCAAGGGAUCCACCCACCUAGGCCUCCCAAAGUGCUGGGAUUACAGGCAUCAGCCACUGUGCCCAGCCUAGAAGUUUUCAGUGUUAAUGUACCCCUGAUUAUUAAUUAUUUCUUUCAUGGGUUGUGGCUUUGGUGUUAUAUCUAUAAAGUCAUCACCAAAUUCAAGGUCAUCUAAAUUUUCUCCUAUGUUAUCUUCUAGGAGUUUUAUAGUUUCUGUGAUCCAUUUUGAGUUAAUUUUCAUGAAGGCUAUUUUUGUGAAUGUGUCUAGAUUUUUUUUUUUUGGCAUGGGAGUGUCCAGUUGUUCUAGCACUAUUUGUUGAAAAGGCUAAAUUGUCUCCAUUAUAUUGCCUUUCCUCCUUUAUCAACAAUCAGUUAACUACAUUUAUGUGGGUCUAUGUCCUGCUCACUAUUCUAUUCUGUUGAUCUAGUUACCUCUUCUUUUACCAAUACCACACUGUCUUAAUUACUGUAGGUUUAUAGUAAGUUUCGAGGUAAGAUUGUGUCAGUUCUCUGAUUUUGUUUUUCUCCUUCAAUAUCAUGUUGGCUAUUCUGGGUCUUUUGCCUCUCCAUAUAAACUCUAGAAUCAGUUUGUCAAUCUCCACAAAAUAACUUACUUGGAUUUUAACUGGGUUGCAGUGAACUAUAGAUCAAGUUGGGAAGAAU
ensembl:lncRNA USP2-AS1 USP2 antisense RNA 1